rnacentral:misc_RNA from 1 species
GAAUUGGCCUUGUACACACCGCCCGUCACACCACGGGAGUGAGCAACACCCGAAGCCGGUGGCCUAACCCGCAAGGGAGGGAGCCGUCGAAGGUGGGGCUCGUGACUGGGGUGAAGUCGUAACAAGGUAGCCGUAGCGGAAGCUGCGGCUGGAUCACCUCCUUUCUAGGGAAGGCUUCUCACGAAGCCGUCCGGUCGCUUGUCGAUCGGAACCUGAAUGUCGACCGAGACCUGGUCGCCCAGCACAUCACGCAAGUGCGAGAUGGAGCUGGAUACAUGCUGUUGAGUUUUGAGAGACCGGCCCCCGCCGGUCCUUCCGCUUGUCUGAGACACGGAAGGGUGCGCGGGAGCGACGCCUCUCCACGGACCUUGAAAACUGCACAGUAGCCAAUGAAACGGGUAUCACCGAUCAUUUCGUAAGAAAGAUCAGAUCACCGUCAAGAUAGUAAGGGCACACGGUGGAUACCUAGGCACACAGAGA